AGAAAAUGAGAAGGAAGGAAGGGAGUGCGUAGGUCCAGUGAGGACGAGGGUGAAAUUUAUAUCUCUGCCCAGGUCUCGGUGCCUGCACCGCCAUAGACACCACCAGGUACAGCAACUGGGGCGGGAGCUACGAGGAGGUCCCCGGAGGGCACUGGGGACGCUGGGUGCACUGGAGCCCGAGACCCCUCUUCCUGGCCAUGGCUGUCCUGGUCGCCAGUACUGUGGGCUGUGAUUCUGAGUAUCCUAUUGUCCAAGGCCUCCACGGAGCGCGCGGCGCUGCUCGGCUGCCAGGACCUGCUGAGGACAAACGGUGUGUGCAGAGCCGGGCGCCUGGGCGCCCGGGGCGUGUGCGGCGGGAGCGUCUGAGACCCCAGAGAUGGAGUCCUGGGUGCGUGGGGGCCCUGUGGUCCCUGAGUCUGGCCACGGGGUGUGGAAGGGAGUCCCCUGAGUCCUCCCAAGUGACCCGGCGGGCAUGCGUUUUGGGAUGGGGGUCGUUCCAGCCUCGAAGCAGACGGCGGCGCUGGGUGCCCUGGAGGAGGAGGCUCGGGGACGCAGGCGCUGCUGCAGACCACGAGCGCGGAGCUUGGGGAGGCGCAGGCGAAGCUGAUGGAGCAGGAGAGAGCCCUGCGGGAACUGCGUGAGCGCGUGACCCAUGGCUUGGCUGAAGCCGGCAGGGACCGCGAGGACGUCAGCACCGAGCUGUACCGGGCGCUGGAGGCCGUGAGGCUGCAGAACAGUGAGGGUGAGGGGGGGUAGGAGGGGGUGCGGUGUAAGUGGACCCUGCCCGUGUGCGUCGCCGGACCCCCUCUUUGACCUUGGCCUGGUCCUGUGGCUCCACCCCUGAGCCCGUGGGGCCAAACCCCUACCCCCUGCAUCCUCUUGGUGCGCUCUCCCUGGAAGCACUCGACCUCUCUGACCCUUGCCACCCUACAGGUUCCUGUGAGCCGUGCCCUACGUCGUGGCUGCCCUUCGGGGGCUCCUGCUACUAUUUCUCUGUGCCGAAGACCACGUGGGCAGAGGCGCAGGGCCACUGCGCCGAUGCCAGCGCACAUCUGGCGAUGUAGGGGGCCUGGGGGAGCAGGUGCGCAGGAGGAGGCGGCGUUCACCCGAGGGGGCGUGGCCGGGCGGUGGGGCGGCGCCGGGGGAGGGGGCAGGACGGGUCUGACUCUGCAGGCUCAGGUGUCUCCUCCUUUCUAGGACUUCCUGAGUCGUGACACUAGUGCCCGUGAAUACUGGAUCGGCCGCAGGGCCGUGCAACACCUGCGCAAGGUUCAGGGCUACUCGUGGGUGGACUGAGUCCCACUCAGCUUCAGGUAGGGGAAGGGCUCCUGGUGAAACCUGGGGGCCACAGGUUAGACUCUAGAGGACAUGUUUUGAGGCCGAGGUGGGCGGAUCACCUGAGGUCAGGAGUUCAAGACCAGCAUGGGAAACGUGGCGAAACCCCAUCUCUACUAAAAAUACAAAAAAUUAGCCGGGCGUGGUGGCACACGCCUGUAAUCCCAGCUAACCCUGGAUGCUGAGGCACGAGAAUCACUUGAACCCAGGAGG
rnacentral:lncRNA from 1 species